rnacentral:lncRNA from 1 species
UUUUAAGACAUCAAAGGGGUAUAAUCGGUAAUUUUCCAUCUUCUAGAACCCUAAUACUAAAUAGUGUUGGUGCAGUUGUCUGUCGACUACAUCUUCGUUCGAGUCCUAGAGUCUCAGAAUAGGAAUGCCUUCAAUUCAUUUAAUUCACUGGAAAACCAUACGAUCCAUCAUAAAUUCCUCAUCAAUAGCACCUUAGUACAUACGAUUGAAGAGUCCCAAACCACCGCCACCCUCCUUUCCGGUUUUGUCUCCUCAAUUUGUUCCCCCCAUCACCGCGUCUCGAAUAGUCGCCACCGGUGCUGUGCUACACAUCCACCGCUGCCUGGUCUUUGCCUCUGCUCGUUGGUGUCGCAAACAGGCCAUCUCAAGUAUUCAUUGGCAUCCGAUUUGUUCUUCUUGGUUACGAUCCUCUAAAAAACUCACAGGUUUCACUGAAGUUUGUUAACGGCGGAGCUGUUAAUGUCGGUAAAUACGGUCCGAAUUGCACUCAUGUUAUUCAUGAUAAGCUUGUUUGGGUUUUAAAAUUUUCAUAUGUGGUACCAAAUAAUUGGGUUUCUGCAUGUUCAGGUCUCCUCUGUUUUAUAUCAAAAACCCAUUUUCUGUUUUAAUUCCCAUGUCUAUUAAUCUUUGUACUCAAAUUGUACCAUAAAGAACAGAUUUGUGAUUUUAAUCGAUAUAUAUGGCGAAAAAGUAAGAAGCGAUCAAAAUCAAUUUAUUCUUCGAUCACCAUCUAUUAAGAGGAAACGAACGGACGAAUGAACAGAGCAAACACGCAUAUUCGGUUGCGUAUGCGACCGUUGUGGCGGCAGAAGUAGCGGUGGCAGCCGCCCAUGCUGCCGUUGAAGUCGUUCGCUUGACGUCCAUUGCGCAUCUGUCGAGUAAAUCCGCAGAAGAAAUGGUUGCUACCAAGAUUCAAACAGCUUAUCGCAGGCACUUGGCGAGCAGGGCGUUGCGUGCUCUUAGAGGGCUUGGGCGGUUGAGAUCGGUGAUUCUAGGUCAAUCAGUCAAACGCCAAACAACGUCGGCGUUGAAAUGUAUGCAAACAUUGGCUCGUGUACAGUCUCAGAUUCGGUCAAGGCGUGUGCGUAGAAAGUCUAAAGAAGAAACGGAAGCCAGUUUAUAAAGGAAACAGGGGGCUCAUACCCAAAGUACACGACUGCUGCUCAUACGCCUAUAAGAAUCACGAGUGUGAAUACUACACAAAGUGUACAGCAUAGGCACCGCCGACACCAGUUUUUCUUUUUUGGUGGUUUGGAGUACUGGAUUGGGAUGGUGCGCUGGAAAGUCCUUUGCAAUCAGAUCCUAAGGCUGAAGAAGUGGCAGGGUAUGUGCAUUGGCUGCUAAUUUGUUGCAUAUUGUUACUAAAGGUGCAAAAUAUCCG